rnacentral:rRNA from 1 species
GGAGAAGAACCAACAGGGAUUGCCCUAGUAACGGCGAGUGAAGCGGCAACAGCUCAAAUUUGAAACUCUGGCUCUUUCAGAGUCCGAGUUGUAAUUUGCAGAGGGUGCUUUGGUGUUGGCAGCGGUCCAAGUUCUUUGGAACAGGACGUCACAGAGGGUGAGAAUCCCGUACGUGGUCGCUAGCCCUCGCCGUGUAAAGCCCNUUCGACGAGUCGAGUUGUUUGGGAAUGCAGCUCUAAAUGGGAGGUAAAUUUCUUCUAAAGCUAAAUACUGGCCAGAGACCGAUAGCGCACAAGUAGAGUGAUCGAAAGAUGAAAAGCACUUUGGAAAGAGAGUCAAAUAGCACGUGAAAUUGUUGAAAGGGAAGCGCUUGCAGCCAGACUUGCCUGUAGUUGCUUAUCCGGACUUUUGUCCGGUGCACUCUUCUGCGGGCAGGCCAGCAUCAGUUUAGGCGGUUGGAUAAAGGUCUCUGUCAUGUACCUCUCUUCGGGGAGGCCUUAUAGGGGAGACGACAUGCAACCAGCCUGGACUGAGGUCCGCGCAUCUGCUAGGAUGCUGGCGUAAUGGCUGUAAGCGGCCCGUCUUGAAACACGGACCAAGGAGUCUAACAUCUAUGCGAGUGUUUGGGUGUCAAGCCCAGACGCGUAAUGAAAGUGAACGGAGGUAAGAACCCUUUGGGUGCAUUAUCGACCGAUCCUGAUGUCUUCGGAUGGAUUUGAGUAAGANCAUGGCUGUUGGGACCCGAAAGAUGGUGAACUAUGCUUGAAUAGGGUGAAGCCAGAGGAAACUCUGGUGGAGGCUCGCAGCGGUUCUGACGUGCAAAUCGAUCGUCAAAUUUGGGCAUAGGGGCGAAAGACUAAUCGAACUAUCUAGUA